rnacentral:rRNA from 1 species
UUUUAUGGAGAGUUUGAUCCUGGCUCAGGAUGAACGCUGGCGGCGUGCCUAAUACAUGCAAGUCGAGCGAACGGACGAGAAGCUGCUUCUCUGAUGUUAGCGGCGGACGGGUGAGUAACACGUGGAUAACCUACCUAUAAGACUGGGAUAACUUCGGGAAACCGGAGCUAAUACCGGAUAAUAUUUUGAACCGCAUGGUUCAAAAGUGAAAGACGGUCUUGCUGUCACUUAUAGAUGGAUCCGCGCUGCAUUAGCUAGUUGGUAAGGUAACGGCUUACCAAGGCAACGAUGCAUAGCCGACCUGAGAGGGUGAUCGGCCACACUGGAACUGAGACACGGUCCAGACUCCUACGGGAGGCAGCAGUAGGGAAUCUUCCGCAAUGGGCGAAAGCCUGACGGAGCAACGCCGCGUGAGUGAUGAAGGUCUUCGGAUCGUAAAACUCUGUUAUUAGGGAAGAACAUAUGUAUAAGUAACUGUGCACAUCUUGACGGUACCUAAUCAGAAAGCCACGGCUAACUACGUGCCAGCAGCCGCGGUAAUACGUAGGUGGCAAGCGUUAUCCGGAAUUAUUGGGCGUAAAGCGCGCGUAGGCGGUUUUUUAAGUCUGAUGUGAAAGCCCACGGCUCAACCGUGGAGGGUCAUUGGAAACUGGAAAACUUGAGUGCAGAAGAGGAAAGUGGAAUUCCAUGUGUAGCGGUGAAAUGCGCAGAGAUAUGGAGGAACACCAGUGGCGAAGGCGACUUUCUGGUCUGUAACUGACGCUGAUGUGCGAAAGCGUGGGGAUCAAACAGGAUUAGAUACCCUGGUAGUCCACGCCGUAAACGAUGAGUGCUAAGUGUUAGGGGGGUUUCCGCCCCUUAGUGCUGCAGCUAACGCAUUAAGCACUCCGCCUGGGGAGUACGACCGCAAGGUUGAAACUCAAAGGAAUUGACGGGGACCCGCACAAGCGGUGGAGCAUGUGGUUUAAUUCGAAGCAACGCGAAGAACCUUACCAAAUCUUGACAUCCUUUGACAACUCUAGAGAUAGAGCCUUCCCCUUCGGGGGACAAAGUGACAGGUGGUGCAUGGUUGUCGUCAGCUCGUGUCGUGAGAUGUUGGGUUAAGUCCCGCAACGAGCGCAACCCUUAAGCUUAGUUGCCAUCAUUAAGUUGGGCACUCUAAGUUGACUGCCGGUGACAAACCGGAGGAAGGUGGGGAUGACGUCAAAUCAUCAUGCCCCUUAUGAUUUGGGCUACACACGUGCUACAAUGGACAAUACAAAGGGCAGCGAAACCGCGAGGUCAAGCAAAUCCCAUAAAGUUGUUCUCAGUUCGGAUUGUAGUCUGCAACUCGACUACAUGAAGCUGGAAUCGCUAGUAAUCGUAGAUCAGCAUGCUACGGUGAAUACGUUCCCGGGUCUUGUACACACCGCCCGUCACACCACGAGAGUUUGUAACACCCGAAGCCGGUGGAGUAACCUUUUAGGAGCUAGCCGUCGAAGGUGGGACAAAUGAUUGGGGUGAAGUCGUAACAAGGUAGCCGUAUCGGAAGGUGCGGCUGGAUCACCUCCUUUCU